rnacentral:rRNA from 1 species
CGGUUAAGUUAGAAAGGGCGCACGGUGGAUGCCUUGGCACUAGGAGCCGAUGAAGGACGGGACGAACACCGAUAUGCUUCGGGGAGCUGUAAGCAAGCUUUGAUCCGGAGAUUUCCGAAUGGGGAAACCCACCACUCGUAAUGGAGUGGUAUCCAUAUCUGAAUACAUAGGAUAUGAGAAGGCAGACCCGGGGAACUGAAACAUCUAAGUACCCGGAGGAAGAGAAAGCAAAUGCGAUUCCCUGAGUAGCGGCGAGCGAAACGGGACCAGCCCAAACCAAGAGGCUUGCCUCUUGGGGUUGUAGGACACUCUGUACGGAGUUACAAAGGAACGAGGUAGAUGAAGAGGUCUGGAAAGGCCCGCCAUAGGAGGUAACAGCCCUGUAGUCAAAACUUCGUUCUCUCCUGAGUGGAUCCUGAGUACGGCGGAACACGUGAAAUUCCGUCGGAAUCCGGGAGGACCAUCUCCCAAGGCUAAAUACUCCCUAGUGACCGAUAGUGAACCAGUACCGUGAGGGAAAGGUGAAAAGCACCCCGGAAGGGGAGUGAAAGAGAUCCUGAAACCGUGUGCCUACAAGUAGUCAGAGCCCGUUAACGGGUGAUGGCGUGCCUUUUGUAGAAUGAACCGGCGAGUUACGAUCCCGUGCAAGGUUAAGCAGAAGAUGCGGAGCCGCAGCGAAAGCGAGUCUGAAUAGGGCGAAUUGAGUACGUGGUCGUAGACCCGAAACCAGGUGAUCUACCCAUGUCCAGGGUGAAGUUCAGGUAACACUGAAUGGAGGCCCGAACCCACGCACGUUGAAAAGUGCGGGGAUGAGGUGUGGGUAGGGGUGAAAUGCCAAUCGAACCUGGAGAUAGCUGGUUCUCUCCGAAAUAGCUUUAGGGCUAGCCUCAAGGUAAGAGUCUCGGAGGUAGAGCACUGAUUGGACUAGGGGCCCCUACCGGGUUACCGAAUUCAGUCAAACUCCGAAUGCCGAUGACUUAUCCUUGGGAGUCAGACUGCGAGUGAUAAGAUCCGUAGUCGAAAGGGAAACAGCCCAGACCGCCAGCUAAGGUCCCAAAGUAUACGUUAAGUGGAAAAGGAUGUGGAGUUGCUUAGACAACCAGGAUGUUGGCUUAGAAGCAGCCACCAUUUAAAGAGUGCGUAAUAGCUCACUGGUCGAGUGACUCUGCGCCGAAAAUGUACCGGGGCUAAACGUAUCACCGAAGCUGCGGACUGUUCUUCGAACAGUGGUAGGAGAGCGUUCUAAGGGCUGUGAAGCAAGACCGGAAGGACUUGUGGAGCGCUUAGAAGUGAGAAUGCCGGUAUGAGUAGCGAAAGAGGGGUGAGAAUCCCCUCCACCGAAUGCCUAAGGUUUCCUGAGGAAGGCUCGUCCGCUCAGGGUUAGUCGGGACCUAAGCCGAGGCCGAAAGGCGUAGGCGAUGGACAACAGGUUGAUAUUCCUGUACCACCUCCUCACCAUUUGAGCAAUGGGGGGACGCAGGAGGAUAGGGUAAGCGCGGUAUUGGAUAUCCGCGUCCAAGCAGUUAGGCUGGGAAAUAGGCAAAUCCGUUUCCCGUGAAGGCUGAGCUGUGAUGGCGAGCGAAUUAUAGUAGCGAAGUUCCUGAUUCCACACUGCCAAGAAAAGCCUCUAGCGAGGUGAGAGGUGCCCGUACCGCAAACCGACACAGGUAGGCGAGGAGAGAAUCCUAAGGUGAUCGAGAGAACUCUCGUUAAGGAACUCGGCAAAAUGACCCCGUAACUUCGGGAGAAGGGGUGCUCUGUUAGGGUGCAAGCCCGAGAGAGCCGCAGUGAAUAGGCCCAGGCGACUGUUUAGCAAAAACACAGGUCUCUGCGAAGCCGUAAGGCGAAGUAUAGGGGCUGACGCCUGCCCGGUGCUGGAAGGUUAAGAGGAGCGCUUAGCGUAAGCGAAGGUGCGAAUUGAAGCCCCAGUAAACGGCGGCCGUAACUAUAACGGUCCUAAGGUAGCGAAAUUCCUUGUCGGGUAAGUUCCGACCCGCACGAAAGGCGCAACGAUCUGGGCACUGUCUCAACGAGAGACUCGGUGAAAUUAUAGUACCUGUGAAGAUGCAGCUUGCUCGCGACAGGACGGAAAGACCCCGUGGAGCUUUACUGCAGCCUGAUAUUGAAUGUUGGUACAGCUUGUACAGGAUAGGUAGGAGCCUUGGAAACCGGAGCGCCAGCUUCGGUGGAGGCAUCGGUGGGAUACUACCCUGGCUGUAUUGACCUUCUAACCCGCCGCCCUUAUCGGGCGGGGAGACAGUGUCAGGUGGGCAGUUUGACUGGGGCGGUCGCCUCCUAAAAGGUAACGGAGGCGCCCAAAGGUUCCCUCAGAAUGGUUGGAAAUCAUUCGCAGAGUGUAAAGGCACAAGGGAGCUUGACUGCGAGACCUACAAGUCGAGCAGGGACGAAAGUCGGGCUUAGUGAUCCGGUGGUUCCGCAUGGAAGGGCCAUCGCUCAACGGAUAAAAGCUACCCCGGGGAUAACAGGCUUAUCUCCCCCAAGAGUCCACAUCUGUCGGCUCAUCGCAUCCUGGGGCUGUAGUCGGUCCCAAGGGUUGGGCUGUUCGCCCAUUAAAGCGGUACGCGAGCUGGGUUCAGAACGUCGUGAGACAGUUCGGUCCCUAUCCGUCGCGGGCGCAGGAAAUUUGAGAGGAGCUGUCCUUAGUACGAGAGGACCGGGAUGGACGCACCGCUGGUGUACCAGUUGUUCUGCCAAGGGCAUCGCUGGGUAGCUAUGUGCGGACGGGAUAAGUGCUGAAAGCAUCUAAGCAUGAAGCCCCCCUCAAGAUGAGAUUUCCCAUUCCGCAAGGAAGUAAGAUCCCUGAAAGAUGAUCAGGUUGAUAGGUCUGAGGUGGAAGUGUGGCGACACAUGGAGCUGACAGAUACUAAUCGAUCGAGGACUUAACCAAUUU